rnacentral:rRNA from 1 species
UGGGGAAUAUUGCGCAAUGGGGGAAACCCUGACGCAGCGACGCCGCGUGUGGGAUGAAGGUCUUCGGAUUGUAAACCACUGUCGCGAGGGACGAAGCUCUGACGGUACCUCGAAAGGAAGCACCGGCUAACUCUGUGCCAGCAGCCGCGGUAAUACAGAGGGUGCGAGCGUUGUCCGGAAUCACUGGGCGUAAAGGGCGCGUAGGCGGCCCGGUAAGUAGGGGGUGAAAUCUCAUGGCUCAACUGUGAGGCUGCCUUCUAGACUGCCAGGCUUGAGCACAGUAGAGGCGAGUGGAAUUCCCGGUGUAGCGGUGGAAUGCGUAGAGAUCGGGAAGAACAUCGGUGGCGAAGGCGGCUCGCUGGGCUGUUGCUGACGCUGAGGCGCGAAAGCGUGGGGAGCAAACAGGAUUAGAUACCCCAGUAGUCCCUGAGCGGGCUGGCAAGGCG